rnacentral:rRNA from 1 species
UACAGAGGUCUCAAGCGUUGUUCGGAUUCAUUGGGCGUAAAGGGUGCGUAGGCGGCGCGGUAAGUCGGGUGUGAAAUUUCGGAGCUUAACUCCGAAACUGCAUUCGAUACUGGCGUGCUUGAGGACUGGAGAGGAGACUGGAAUUUACGGUGUAGCGGUGAAAUGCGUAGAUAUCGUAAGGAAGACCAGUGGCGAAGGCGGGUCUCUGGACAGUUCCUGACGCUGAGGCACGAAGGCCAGGGGGAGCAAACGGG